rnacentral:rRNA from 1 species
UACGAAGGGGGGCUAGCGUUGCUCGGAAUCACUGGGCGUAAAGCGCACGUAGGCGGAUUGCUAAGUCAGGGGUGAAAUCCUGGAGCUCAACUCCAGAACUGCCUUUGAUACUGGCGAUCUUGAGUCCGGGAGAGGUGAGUGGAACUGCGAGUGUAGAGGUGAAUUCGUAGAUAUUCGCAAGAACACCAGUGGCGAAGGCGGCUCACUGGCCCGGUACUGACGCUGAGGUGCGAAAGC